rnacentral:lncRNA from 1 species
CACGGCCCUCCUCCUCCCUGCAGGAUCUUCCUCCUCUGCUGUCCAACUGCUCCAACGCCCCUGAGCCGCCCAGAGCCUCCUCCUUGCUGGAUCCUCCUCCUCCUCCUCCCGCAGAUGAAUUUGCAGAAAUAACCUGACCACAGAAAUUCCGUGUGACCAGAAGCGUUGGUAUGGCAAGGCUGCACGUUCUUUUUUUAAUGUGAUGAAGAAAUGGAAUCCGAUGCAUUAAAGUCCCAC